UACGGAGGGUGCGAGCGUUGUCCGGAAUCAUUGGGCGUAAAGAGCGCGCAGGCGGCUUGGAAAGUUGGGUGUGAAAGCCCUCGGCUCAACCGAGGAAGUGCAUUCAAAACUACCAAGCUUGAGUACCGGAGAGGAUCGCGGAAUUCCCGGUGUAGCGGUGGAAUGCGUAGAGAUCGGGAAGAACAUCGGUGGCGAAGGCGGUCUGCUGGGCCGUUGCUGACGCUGAGGCGCGACAGCGUGGGGAGCAAACAGG
rnacentral:rRNA from 1 species